GACGGAGGAUGCAAGUGUUAUCCGGAAUCACUGGGCGUAAAGCGUCUGUAGGUGGUUCAAUAAGUCAACUGUUAAAUCUUGAGGCUCAACUUCAAAAUCGCAGUCGAAACUAUUGGACUCGAGUAUAGUAGGGGUAAAGGGAAUUUCCAGUGGAGCGGUGAAAUGCGUAGAGAUUGGAAAGAACACCAAUGGCGAAAGCACUUUACUGGGCUAUUACUGACACUGAGAGACGAAAGCUAGGGUAGCAAAUAGGG
rnacentral:rRNA from 1 species